CACGUAGGGCGCAAGCGUUUGUCCGGAAUUAUUGGGCGUAAAGAGCUCGUAGGCGGUCUGCUACGUCCGCUGUGAAAACCUAGGGCUUAACCCUGGGCUUGCAGUAGAUACGGGUAGACUAGAGGUAGGUAGGGGAGAAUGGAAUUCCCGGUGUAGCGGUGAAAUGCGCAGAUAUCGGGAGGAACACCGGUGGCGAAGGCGGUUCUCUGGGCCUUACCUGACGCUGAGGAGCGAAAGCGUGGGGGAGCAAACAGG
rnacentral:rRNA from 1 species